rnacentral:lncRNA from 1 species
CAGUUUGUGGUUUUAUAUGCUUCUAACUAAUCAUUGUUCAUUAUACCAAGAGAAUCAGAUUUCCAACUAUGGUUUGAUGUCAUUGUGUAUAUACAGGACGUCCACAGGUGCCUGGAAAGCCAUAAAGAAAAAGAAGGAAACCAGCCAAGACUAAAGUUUCACAGAUCCAGAUGUGGCUGCUGCUGCUGUUUGGGAAAAAAAAAAUAACACAUUUUAGACCUUGGCAUUUCAGCAUUACAGCUGUGCCCAUCACUGGAUACACCACCAAUGAAAAGAGAUGUUCUUAAUUCUACGAAGUCUUGGACAGUAGUCUGCAGAAAUCUAAAUGGCAAGACAAGUUAACAUCUGUUCAUUCUUUACUAUAAGUCUACACUUACAGGAUAAAAUUGAGAAAAGACAAUUUAAAAUCAUCCUAAUCUGAAGAAGCUAAUCCUUGUUUUCUUUCAGUGGCAAUUUAGUGUGGUAGUUAAAAGAACAUAGCUUUAACAUGUGGCUGUGACGUCAAUCCAAGGCACUGAUAAAUUGAAAUAUAUGUGUGUGUAUACACACACACACACACACACACACGUAUGUAUAAAUCUGUGCUUUAUUUAAAAAGCAUAGAAGAAAAAAUAAUUUAUUUUUUAGUUCUUACCCCAGAGUAAAUAUUUACAGUUCUUGACUAUAUUAAAACAUUGAGUACCUUUAUUAAGUUUACUAUACUGAAAUAUGUUAUUAUUUACAUGUCUUGACUCCCUACAUACAUAUUAUCAAGGUAAUGACUUAACAUUUCAGAGUUAUGAAUCAUUUUAUCAUUUAGGAUAAGAAAGAGAAAUAAUGCAAUCUCAUUCUAUAAAAAGUCAUGAUUCCAGCUAAGACUGGUAUCUUUAAUAAUAUAUCAGGACUUGAU